rnacentral:rRNA from 1 species
UACGUAGGGCGCAAGCGUUGUCCGGAAUUAUUGGGCGUAAAGAGCUCGUAGGUGGCUUGUUGCGUCUGCCGUGAAAACCCGAGGCUUAACCUCGGGCCUGCGGUGGAUACGGGCAGACUAGAGGUAGGUAGGGGAGAAUGGAAUUCCCGGUGUAGCGGUGGAAUGCGUAGAGAUCGGGAAGAAUACCAGUGGCGAAGGCGUUCUGCUGGGCCGUUGCUGACACUGAGGCGCGACAGCGUGGGGAGCAAACAGG